AUGUGUUCCCCCUCUCCGCUGGCCGAAGGCCGCUCGUGCUCGGACCGUUGCCUCGAGUCGAGCCCCUCCUCUACCGGUACCGCAGAGCCCCGGCCGUCCUCCUACCUCCAGGAGCUCUGCAGCGCCCCGCCCCUACCCGCGGGGGCCAGCCCGCGCCCCUCGCUGCUGGCUGUGCGCCCUCCCCUGCGCUCCGAGAUCUGCCGGAUGUCCGUGGACGGUGCCCACGACGACUGGCUCCUCGCCCAUAGGCGGAAGCGCCACUGCUCCUCCCGGUCGCGGCGUCCUCAUCGCGGGCCUGGUGAUGCCCCUCGCCAGCCACCGUCGUGGCUCCGGGAGGGUGAGUGCCCGAGGUGCCUCAGCCCCGGCCACCCGCGCUUGGAGUGUCGCAGGGACAUCCGUUGCGGUCGCUGUCGUUUCUUCGGGCACAAGGCCCGCGACUGCCCCCUGCGCUCCGCCACCGCCUCCUCCUCCACCCAGGGCGACUCCCCCCCUCCGCUGUGUCGCCGUGGUUCUGCCUCUGGCUCGAGCCCGGAGGAAUCUGCUUCGCCUCCUGCGCGUCCCACCUCCUCUGGCUCGUUCGGCCACCCCACGUCCUCUAGGUCGGCCAGCGUUGGGCCGUCGCGCUCCGACGGUUCUGUGCCCGCGUCUUCCAGGCCACGUACCGCCUUUGCAUCGCCGACCGGCUCUACCUCUGUGGCGGCCACCUCGCUGUCGGGUCACCCUGCGCGUCACCCCGCCGGUGCCAUCUGCUACCUACCUCGGUCCGCGGAGCUGGUGGCUGCGGAGCUGGAUCUCGAGCGGGCGCUGCUCACCUCGGUGGCCGGCUGCCGCCUUGGCAUCACCCGCGAGGUUGUCUUCGACGCUCUCCGCACACGCUAUGGCCUGACCGCGCACGAGUUCUCCGUCCACAUCCACGCCUAUGAUGGUUUCCUCAUCAAGUUCUCCUCCGCCGCUUCGCGCGCACGUGUCACCGCUGGUGGUCUACGCACCGGUGGCUUUCGACUGCUCUUCACUCCUUGGAGCCGCUCCCGUGACGCUAUCCCGGUGAAGGCGCGCUUCCUCGUCUCCAUCAAGAUCAUGGGCACCCCUGAUCAUGUUUGGCACCAGUCCUCUGCUGAGUUCCUCCUGCCGUCGUUCUGCCGGGUCAAGAACCUCGCCCCGGAGACCAAGGACGCGUCUGACAUGUCGGUCUUUCACCUCACAGCCUGGACCAUCAAUCCCGACGGCAUCCCGCGCUUGUCGGAGCUGCUCGUACCGGAGCCUGAUGCUGUGGCCGACAAGGCGGACCCGACGUGGGCGGAGCGCCUCGCGCUUGGACUGAUGCGGUUCCCCGUCGAGAUCCAUGCCGUUAGCUCCGUCGACUACAGCCGCCCCGCGCCCCCACUGAGGGAGUCCUGGAAUGGGGUGUCCUCGGACAACCGGACUAUAUGCUUUGGCCGGACUGUUGGACUAUGA
rnacentral:rRNA from 1 species